rnacentral:tRNA from 1 species
UCCUUAGUAGCUCAGUGGUAGAGCAAUCGGCUGUUAACCGAUCGGUCGUAGGUUCAAAUCCUACCUGAGGAG